GCCUUCGGGUAUGUGGGGUUCGGUAGAGUUUGAGACCUGUAUUGAACCCCGCAUAACAUUCACACUUUGUGAUUUUUUAGUUAUUCAUUAUAUAGUUUCUGUCCAUGCUCUCAAACAAUCAGCUGGCAGAAAUAUUUACAGAUUUGUAUAUAGAUCUGGAAUGAAUGCAUGAAAAUUAGUCGAGAGUUUGCACAAAAACUA
rnacentral:antisense_RNA from 1 species